GACGAACGCCGGCGGCGUGCUUAACACAUGCAAGUCGAACGGACCCUUUGGGGUUAGUGGCGAACGGGUGAGUAACACGUGGGUGAUCUGCCCUGCACUUUGGGAUAAGCCUGGGAAACUGGGUCUAAUACCGGAUAGGACUACGCACUGCAUGGUGUGUGGUGGAAAGCUUUUGCGGUGUGGGAUGGGCCCGCGGCCUAUCAGCUUGUUGGUGGGGUGAUGGCCUACCAAGGCGACGACGGGUAGCCGGCCUGAGAGGGUGACCGGCCACACUGGGACUGAGAUACGGCCCAGACUCCUACGGGAGGCAGCAGUGGGGAAUAUUGCACAAUGGGCGCAAGCCUGAUGCAGCGACGCCGCGUGAGGGAUGACGGCCUUCGGGUUGUAAACCUCUUUCGCCAGGGACGAAGCGCAAGUGACGGUACCUGGAGAAGAAGGACCGGCCAACUACGUGCCAGCAGCCGCGGUAAUACGUAGGGUCCGAGCGUUGUCCGGAAUUACUGGGCGUAAAGAGCUCGUAGGUGGUUUGUCGCGUUGUUCGUGAAAACUCACAGCUUAACUGUGGGCGUGCGGGCGAUACGGGCAGACUGGAGUACUGCAGGGGAGACUGGAAUUCCUGGUGUAGCGGUGGAAUGCGCAGAUAUCAGGAGGAACACCGGUGGCGAAGGCGGGUCUCUGGGCAGUAACUGACGCUGAGGAGCGAAAGCGUGGGGAGCGAACAGGAUUAGAUACCCUGGUAGUCCACGCCGUAAACGGUGGGUACUAGGUGUGGGUUUCCUUCCUUGGGAUCCGUGCCGUAGCUAACGCAUUAAGUACCCCGCCUGGGGAGUACGGCCGCAAGGCUAAAACUCAAAGGAAUUGACGGGGGCCCGCACAAGCGGCGGAGCAUGUGGAUUAAUUCGAUGCAACGCGAAGAACCUUACCUGGGUUUGACAUGCACAGGACGCCGGCAGAGAUGUCGGUUCCCUUGUGGCCUGUGUGCAGGUGGUGCAUGGCUGUCGUCAGCUCGUGUCGUGAGAUGUUGGGUUAAGUCCCGCAACGAGCGCAACCCUUGUCUCAUGUUGCCAGCACGUUAUGGUGGGGACUCGUGAGAGACUGCCGGGGUCAACUCGGAGGAAGGUGGGGAUGACGUCAAGUCAUCAUGCCCCUUAUGUCCAGGGCUUCACACAUGCUACAAUGGCCGGUACAAAGGGCUGCGAUGCCGUGAGGUGGAGCGAAUCCUUUCAAAGCCGGUCUCAGUUCGGAUCGGGGUCUGCAACUCGACCCCGUGAAGUCGGAGUCGCUAGUAAUCGCAGAUCAGCAACGCUGCGGUGAAUACGUUCCCGGGCCU
rnacentral:rRNA from 1 species